CUGGCACCCAGAGAGCACUCUUUUCAGCCAGAGCCCAGAAACAGCCCUUGUCCCCUGGCAAAAGAGGCCCAGUGCUGGGCCCUGGGCAAAUGUCUCCAGACAUCCCUACCUUUCCUCCUUUUAUUAGUCUCCUUCCCCCACAGAACCCAUUUCCUUUUGCCACUAAAACUAGGUUGCAUCCAAAAGUUUCUCACAAGCUUAAAAAAGAAAAAUGAAAAAUUGACAUCAUUAUACAGAAGAAUUCACAAAAGCUGCAGAGCUCCAGGGCAGAGAAGCAGCGACAGACACAGGAAAGUUUCAUUUUGAAGCUGGAACAGGAGUUCCUGUUUUGCUUUGAGGGUCCAGAGACCUACUCCCCCCCCCCUCCAGGUAUGAAGACCAGACUGGGUUUCCAUUGAAGAUUACAGCCAUUCCUCAUCUACUCCAAUGAUCAGCCCUGAGGAAGGACUGUGGAGCCAGGUAAGCAGUGUCCACUCUUUAAACCUGUAUGUCUUGUCUCUAAUGUGAACCGCCGGUUAUGCCUCACGGCGGCUUCUUCCUUCUGUGCUGCCUUUCAGCUGUUAUCUCUGUGUAAUGGGCACAUUUUAUGAUGAUCACUAUUUAUUAGGGAUCUCAUGUUCGCCCUGUGAAGAUCACUUGAGCAGCAACCUUAGUUCUGUAGCUGUGACUGGCGUAUGCAGCCGCUGCCCCUUAUAAGAUGGUGUCACAGGUCCAUAUACUGUCUGGAGGAGCUGGUCUCCCUUUGAGAGAGGUGAGCCAAGAGGAAGAACAGCACCCGGAUGACAUGGCCAAUGCUAUCUCAGGAAGGGGGAGAUGCUGGAUGAGAAAGGCUUACCAGAUGGCGAAUGCAGUGAUUUGGAGCACUGGGUCCCACUUUAAAAGAAACAACAAUGCUAUGGGCUAAGGUGCAGGCUUCCAGGAUUCAUAGCUACAGCUCUAAUACCUAGACCUGCAGAGUGUUGUGUUUGGGGACAGGUUAAUUUUUUUAAAAACUGCAUUUAUUUCUUUACCUCUUUAGUUAUUUGCUGUGGGUACGCACUUAUCGAAGCCGGAGAACAACGUGUGGGGGUUGGCCUUCUCCUUUUUGGAUUCUAGGGAUCGAAUUUCAAUAAUCAGUCUUGGCAGCAAGCAAGUUUACCCCAAGCUGAGCCAUCUCUUCAACCCCAGGAGAUAGGUUCUUUAGAGACAUAAUUAUGUCUCAGUGAGGUAAGCGUUAAUCUAUGGUGACUGAUGUAGUCCAGAUAAGAUGUUGACAGAAAGACCAUAUGAAGAUAUGAGGACGAGGAGACCAGAUAGGAGGACACGGAGGCCAGAUAUGAGCCAAGGAAAGAUCUUCGGAAGAAAUCAACCCCGCUGCUGACCUUGGAUUUUGUGGCUUCUGCUUCCGGCAGUACCAUCAGACUAAUGCCACCUGCUCUUUGGCACCAGCCAGUUAUGUGCAGCCGCUUGGAGAUGCAGACCCUGUGUCAACAGAUUCUCCAGCGGGUUCUGCCUUUUCAUAUUUGACCAGACCUCCAGCCAUCACGGAACUAGUGUAGCUGACAAAUAAUAUAAAUUGAUAACCGCCGGGGAAGAAUUUAUAAAACCCAGAAGUUUGCCAUGGGUGGAAGGAAAGCCACAGAUUCGACUCUAUCGAUUCUAAUGUGGCCCUGACCAUUAAAGAGAGAGAGCGCGCAAGAGAGAGAUCCUAAGGACCUCACAAUACAAUGUCUCACACAAGGCAGGGAAGUCAUCCUGGUCUACAGUGGCUGCCCGGUGAACUCUGGGGAGUCUCCUGUCUUUACCCCCAGCACUGUGAUUACAGACACAUCAGCACAGGAGACUCUUUCAUGGGCACUGGGUCUCUGAAUUAAGCUCUCAUGCUUGCAUGGCAGGCCCUCAGGACACAUGGGAUGAUCCUUCCAAGUCACUCCCCGGAGAGAGUGGAGCUCUCACUGGCCUGUAUCAGAGAAGCUGCUUUCCCAACCUCUUCCCUGUAAAUUCCCAGCCUCUCCCAUUCAUUUUCAUUCUUCUCUAUAGUUUGCAUGUAAAGAGGCAUUGAAAUUAGACUGUGAUGGACUAAGAGUUAUGAGGCUUUGGUGGGCACGGCCUGUACUUGGUACAGCAAAGGUCAUUUUAUGAUGCCUGCUUCUGAAUCUAGGGAUCACAGCUACCCAGCUCCUACUGUGCCCCAGGAGACUGCCUCUCCUCACCUCUUACUAAGAAAUGGUACAAUUUAGAGUAAGGGAUGAUCCCACAUUUAAGAGGCUUGAAAUUGUAUACUUGGCAUUUCUGAGUUAAGAUCUAAAAUAUAGUUCCCUUAAUCAUAGAGAAAAUAAAAAAAACGUAGUUACAACUUUUCAUUUAAAAAUGAUUGCAUUAAGAGAAAUGGAAAAUCAUGCUGAUAUAAAACUAUUCAUAGUAUCAGCAGGGCUGGGGCUAUAGUUUAGUCAUGGAGGGCUUGCAUAGCAAUGUGCAUGAUCCAAGGUUCAAGCCCCAGCACUGCAAAAGAAAAGUGGGAGGGGAGGUGGUAUUCACAGCAGCAUUUUCGAUAUGGGCAGAAAGGGGAAGGAACUCAAACGCCUACCCAAGAAUGGGUAAGCAUAAAGUGGUUUAUCUCUAUAAGUGGAUACUGGUCUGCCAUAGAAAGGUAUGACAUGAUAGGUAUGAUGAUGUCUCUUUAAACAUCUUCCUAAGUAACAGGCCAAUCACAAGGGAAGGCAUGUACUCCAUAUUUCUGGAGUAUAUAGGCAUACCUAUUUAGAAAAAAAAAAAAAAAGAAGGACAAUGGUUGCUUGGGAUUUGAAGAGAAGGCCUGGAUUUUGGGAGACAGCAGAGUGCUACAGAAUUUCUUUGGGUGGUGAUAAAAAUGUUCUUGAAUUAAUUGAAAUAACGGUUGUACCAUUUGAUAAACUGCAUUUAAAAAGCACUGAGUUUUACUUUCAAAUGGGUGAGUUGCAUGGCACAGUGAUUAUCUCUCAAUAAAACCACGGUUAUAUUUUAAGAAAUA